rnacentral:rRNA from 1 species
GUAGUCUCGCACAGAUGCAUAUCAAUAAGCGGAGGAAAAGAAACUAACAAGGAUUCCCCUAGUAACGGCGAGUGAAGCAGGAAGAGCUCAAAUUUGAAAUCUUAAAGGGUUUCCCUUUACGAAUUGUAGUUUAAAGAAGUGUUUUCUGUUGAGGUUUUGGUAAAAGUUCUUUGGAAUAGGACAUCAUAGAGGGUGAGAAUCCCGUAUUUGACCUUUACUUUCAACUUUGUGAUACACUUUCAAAGAGUCGGAUUGUUUGGGAAUGCAGUCCAAAAUGGGUGGUAAAUUUCAUCUAAAGCUAAAUAUUGGCGAGAGACCGAUAGCGAACAAGUACCGUGAGGGAAAGAUGAAAAGAACUUUGAAAAGAGAGUUAAACAGUACGUGAAAUUGUCAAAAGGGAAGCGUUUGACACCAGUGUUGUUUUUCUGAAAAUCAAUUAAAGAACUGUUUAUGCUAAGUUGUUUAGACUUUAUCAGCUAAUCUGCUUAGUUUUGAGCUUUUCUUUAAUGCACUUUUCAGUUAACAAGUCAACAUCAAUUUCUUUUGCUGUAAAAAAGCUUGAGGAAGGUGGCUUGAGAUUCGUCUUAAGUGUUUAUAGCCUCUUGCCUAUGCAGUCGGAGAGAUUGAGGUCUGCAGCGUAGAUCCUUCGGGGCUAAAUGCAGUUUGUGCUAAGUUAUAGCAUUUAUAGACAACUUGUUGACUAUGAUUCGUCUUGUAGCUUACUCGCUUAUGUUAUUUUACCUACGCUUAGGAUGUUGACAGCAGUAUAGACUGU